rnacentral:misc_RNA from 1 species
GAAAUGCGAUAAGUAGUGUGAAUUGCAGAAUUCAGUGAAUCAUCGAAUCUUUGAACGCACAUUGCGCCCUUUGGUAUUCCAAAGGGCAUGCCUGUUCGAGCGUCAUUUGUACCCUCAAGCUUUGCUUGUUGUUGGGCGUCUUGUCUCUAGCUUUGCUGGAGACUCGCCUUAAAGUAAUUGGCAGCCGGCCUACUGGUUUCGGAGCGCAGCACAAGUCGCACUCUCUAUCAGCAAAGGUCUAGCAUCCAUUAAGCCUUUUUUUCAACUUUUGACCUCGGAUCAGGUAGGGAUACCCGCUGAACUUAAGC